rnacentral:lncRNA from 1 species
CCCCCCAUUUCUCCCCCUCCUCCAAGGUGCAGCCCUCCCGUGUGGUUCUCCGUCGUGUGGCUGCGAUCUCAAUUGGAGUUUGGAGGGAGGAAGAAGGAAGGAGGAAGGGAAGAACCUAAGGUGAAUUUGUGAUUAACUUUUGUUGUUUUUGUGCUGCAAUCAAUUGGAUUAUGUGUUUAUCUUUGCGAAUCGGUAGAGGUGCUGUCCAGGAAUUUUGUGAGUGGGUGAACAGCAGUAGUUCUAGGGAUUUCUGGGAAUUUUCGUGGGGUAAUUAGUGGGAAUCAGUGGGAUAAUCAUGUAGAGCUUUGUCAUACCUUUCCAACGAGUACUUAUGCGCUCGAUUCGGAGUUAUAAUUUAGGAGAUAUCGUUGUUUGAAUCCGGGUAUAUUGCUGUCCAAAAAAACAGAUUUUUCAGGUGGGUGAACAGCAGUAGUAUUAGCAGUUUCUGGGAAUUUUUCGUGGGUAAUUAGUAUUAACCAGUAUUAUAAUCAUGUAGGGCUUUGUCUUAUCUUUCCAAUGAGUACUUAUGUGCUUGAUUUGGAAUUAUAUUUUAAAAGAUAUCGCUGUUUGAAUCCGGGUAUGUUGCUGUAAAAAAAACAGAUUUUUCAGGUGGGUGAACAGCAGUAGUAUUAGCAAUUUCUGGGAAUUUUUCGUGGUUAAUUAGUGCUAACCAGUAUGAUAAUCAUGUAUGGCUUUGUCUUAUCUUUCCAAUGAGUACUUAUGCGCUUGAAUUGGAAUUAUAUUUUAAAAGUUAUCGCUGUUUGAAUCCGGGUAUGUCGCUGUCCAAAAGAGAAAAAAACAGAUUACAGGGUUCAUCUUGUGAACUGUUUUGGGCUAAUUAGAUGUUGGAGUUUAAUUAUAAAUUGUAUACAAAACUUGUGGGGAAUUUUAUGUAGAUGCCUCUGGAGUUUUUGUUUGUUACCAAUGCUGUCAUAAUUUUGAAGUUAUGAAAUUAUUAAGCAGCGCCGCUGCAGUUUGGUGGGUGUGGGGAGAGAUGUAACCCGCGGCGGGGUUUGAGUUUGUGCGUAGGUGCGGCGUCGUUUAUGAGCCUGGUUAUGUGAAAUUGGUGCACUAAGUUGUGUGUCAAAAACAGGUGGUGGACUUCCGGAUCGUACUUAGGGAUUUGCCCAAACUUCCGGUAAAGGCAAGUAAAUACAGUGGUGGUUGCUACCGUUUGGUUUGCAUCCUAUUCCCUGUCAUUGAGUAUGCAUAAGUUUUAAAUAUGUUAAUCAUUGAAUUCUAUGAUGAAGUUUAUUUGUUCGAAAGUAUUAAUUCUCAAUUGUCUAAUAUUGUGGAUGAUCAUGAUUUGGUAAUGAUAUAUGUGGUUGAUUCCUAUCAUGGAUGGAGUUGAAGUAUUUUUAUUUGAAUCACGUUAUAUGAAGUGUUGUAGGCAUGUCAUGCACAUUGCAUCAUCCAUCUUGCAUUCUGAAGUUAUGUCGUGAUCUUAUGGUCCGACUGUACCGGUACAUUUUUAGCAUCGUACGUUGUCCGAGGAGGGGUACGAUGCGGCUUCAUAUCCUUAGAGGUAUGAAGGCAGAAGUCAUCCUUGCAUUUGCAGACAUUUGCACUCAUGAGGUAUAUAUAUGAAGAGUGACAUUACUAUGUUACUAUUGUGGUUUCUACCUGCGAGGUGUGGUAGCUAGGAGUGUUGUACGUUGUAUACGUGCUGCACCUUUGUAAUAAGAAGGUUGUGAAAUCAAGUGGUGGUAAAACAAUAUUCUUAUGUGGUUAAACAGUUUGAUAUUAUUUUACUUGCUGAGAUGUGUCAUCUCACUCUUGCAUUACUCAAUGCAGGUACUUGAUAUAUGUUGGGAAUGAGGGGAGUAGCAGCACGUCCACUUUCACUCUCAUAAUAGCGCUGCCCAGGCGUAGCCAUGAUUUAAUUAGAAACUUGUUGUCAAAAGAAGUUAUUUUUUUUUGCUAGUCGUGCGCACUGGUUAAUUCAGUUCAUGUCGUAUGUUUAACUUCCCUUUGCUAGCCGAUUAAUAAUACUUGGUAUGUUUUUGUCAUGAUAUAUGUUUAUACAUUGUUGUCCCCCCCCCUCAUUUAUGCAAUUUUGCAAAGGAGAUGCUGCCAAAAUUUUAUAUAGAUGUCAGAAGUGUAGUUCAGUAGCAUUCCGGGGUGUUUGUGGAUCCCGGGGUGUUACAGUUGGUAUCAGAGGAUAGGCUUUAGAUUCUACGCAAUUUGAAGAUAAAUUUGACACACUUGCACAUAUAGGAAGGGU